AAAGAUCGCAGCCUGCGGCAGCUCCUACAGGGAAACGUAUUCCCCUGUAGGAGCUGCCGCAGGCUGCGAUCUUU
rnacentral:misc_RNA from 1 species